AAUUAAUUACCAUGUGUCUCCUCAUGGAGAUCAGAAAGUUAAUUGCUUCUUUUUGUCCUUCUUAUCAGAAUGUGGAAAUAUAAAACUACUCUGUAUAAGAUUGGAUUCAGUUUACAAAAAUAAGCCUGAAGCCUUUGAACUCAGGGGGCCCAGGUGGAGAGAUUCUGUUCAUUAUCUGUCCUCCUGCCUCCAGCCUGUGCCAUAGACUCCAAAUGGAUGAAAGCUCUGUAUAGAGAGGUUGUAUUACCAUGGAGUACAAUAUCUGUCAGAUUUGAGUAGAGGUGAACACAGUGGAGGAGAAUAAAGAGAGAGCUGAGUUCUGUCUCAGUGAGCACGACAAAAGGCCGAUGAACCUGUCAGAGGGCAGAAGUGGACCCCAAAGGCUUGUUCCCGCGGACUUUGCUGGUUGACUGUUCUUUGCAUUAAUCUGGAAUCAUGGCGCACCAUUACUCUUUUCAUGUUGUGAUAUUCUCUUCACAUUCUCUUCCUUGCUCCUCAAUGCCAAAUGUGUGACUUUUCAGAAACAAAAUAUUGAGGAAUUUAAAGUGAGCAUGCUGUAGCAACCAGUGAGAUGCAUGGAAAAUCAUAAGCUGUUGAAAAACUGGGAUUGGGAUUUGUUGCUGGGGGCAUAAAUUUUGUGUGUACAUCCAAAGAAUACUCCAUGCUCUGAGACUUAGAAUAUAGUCAUGUUGUGUGAAUUUAUGAAUUAUAUUGAGUAGAAAAUAUAUAUAUAUAGUCAUUUGACAUUAAGAGACAAUGAAUAUAUAAGUGUUUGACUGGACUGGCCAACAUAGUGAAACCCGUCUCUGCUAAAAAUGCAAGAAUUGGCCAGGCAUGGUGGUUGGUGCCUGUAAGCCCAGCUACUCGGGAGGCUGAGGUGGGAGAAUCGCUUGAACCCAGAGGCGGGGUUUGCAGUGAGCCGAGAUCACGCACUGCACUCUAGUCUGGGCGACAGAGCAAGACUCCAUCUCAAACAAACAAACAAACAAGC
rnacentral:lncRNA from 10 species